GUAGGGAAUAUUGCACAAUGGAGGAAACUCUGAUGCAGCGACGCCGCGUGAGUGAUGAAGGCCUUCGGGUCGUAAAGCUCUGUCGCAGGGGAAUAACACAAUGAAGCUACCCUGUAAGAAAGGAUCGGCUAACUUCGUGCCAGCAGCCGCGGUAAGACGAGGGAUCCUAGCGUUGUUCGGAAUCAUUGGGCGUAAAGCGGAUGUAGGUGGCUAUGUAAGUCAGAUGUGAAAGCCUGGGGCUCAACCCCAGAAGUGCAUUUGAUACUGCGUAGCUUGAGUGUCGGAGAGGUUACUAGAAUUGUUGGUGUAGUGGUGAAAUACGUAGAUAUCAACAGGAAUACCGGAGGCGAAGGCGGGUAACUGGCCGAACACUGACACUGAGAUCCGAAAGCGUGGGGAUCAAACAGGAUUAGAAACCCUGGUAGUCC
rnacentral:rRNA from 1 species